AUUGACGCAGCUCUUCUCAUCUCCAUCUCUGACCUUCGAGCUCUCUCAUCUCCAUCUCCGAUGCAGACCUCGAGAUCUCUCAUCUCCGGCUCGAGCUCUCCGACUCAGGCUCGAGCUCUCUCUUUUCCGACGCAGACCACGAACUCUCUCUUCUCCGACGCAGACCACGAUCUCUCUCUCUUCUCCGACGCAGACCACGAGCUCUCUCAUCUCAGACGCAGACCUCGAGCUAUCUCAUCUCUGACGCUUAUCACGGGC
rnacentral:lncRNA from 1 species